CCUACGGGAGGCAGCAGUGAGGAAUAUUGGUCAAUGGACGAGAGUCUGAACCAGCCAAGUAGCGUGAAGGAUGACUGCCCUAUGGGUUGUAAACUUCUUUUAUAUGGGAAUAAAAUGUUCCACGUGUGGGAUUUUGUAUGUACCAUAUGAAUAAGGAUCGGCUAACUCCGUGCCAGCAGCCGCGGUAAUACGGAGGAUCCGAGCGUUAUCCGGAUUUAUUGGGUUUAAAGGGAGCGUAGGUGGAUUGUUAAGUCAGUUGUGAAAGUUUGCGGCUCAACCGUAAAAUUGCAGUUGAAACUGGCAGUCUUGAGUACAGUAGAGGUGGGCGGAAUUCGUGGUGUAGCGGUGAAAUGCUUAGAUAUCACGAAGAACUCCGAUUGCGAAGGCAGCUCACUGGACUGCAACUGACGCUGAUGCUCGAAAGCGCGGGUAUCGAACAGGAUUAGAUACCCCUGUAGUC
rnacentral:rRNA from 1 species